UACAGUUAACUGGUUAGAAUCAGUUUCUUGAGUUUGCUUGCUUAGCAUGUAAUAUUUCGCACUCACUAAUUGUAUUAUUUCACGGUUGGCAAUUGUUAGAACCAGGUCUUGAGUUUGCUUGCUUAAUCGUGUCCCUGUGUAAUUGCUCACCAAGCUCGCCAAUGUGAGUUUGUCCCACAUAAUGGAGUUUCUAUGAAUUCUUGGAAAUUCUUGGAAAUUCUCUUGUUGCUGUUAUAACGUGGGUGUGUUCGGCUUCCUUCUUCACUAAAGUUUGACAAGAGUCGUAAAACCAAUGGAUAAUAAGAGACUGUUUGAUGGUGAAAGAAUUUAUGCUCGUGGUGACUACCUCAAGUGUGCCAGAAUGGCUGCUGUUAAACAAGAGGAGGUAGACACAACCAAUGAUACCAGCGGUGGCCAAAUUACCCAUGACGAACCACUAUGUCGGAAGCACAAUAAGCGAUAUGAGUAUAUUCAUCGCCCACGCAAAGCAAGCUCAGUCAAAAAGUUCUAAGGCAAGAAAAUCCAUCUAAAGCCUAGAAAGUUCAUUCUCCAUGGUGAGCCUUGCAAGCACUACUUAGAUGAGUUUAGUCGCCACGUUGUGUGGGGCAACAUAGUUAGGCUCUACAACCAUAAUGUUCGUGCACUGCAAAAGAUCAUCCACAGCACCACCACGCCUAAUAACUACUAUGUGUGACACAUGACAGAAACAUUUGCAACACAAGGCAAAAGAAUGUAUUUUAAUGUCCACUUUUCUAUGGUUCCCUUUUCCCACACAUGGAUGCUGACCACGGUGAACUUCCAAUCACAACUGGAGAUGGAAGAACCACUGUCACGGCCCGCUUUAUAAAGGGAGUUGACAAAAGGGCCACCAUCACUAAAGGCUGGAGCGACUUCUUCCGUUGGACCCACAUGAACGAAGGGCAAGCAUAUGCUUUCGGCUUCAAAUGCACUUCCAAGGGAUUGCACCUGAUUGUCUACUCAAUAUAAGCAAGUUGCAGGAGCCCCUUUCUAUAUAACAUAGUAUUAGUAUAAAUGCCUACAAAGACAUCUAUGUUUAUCCUCCUUUUUGAUCUUAUGUAAUCCCCUAAGACACUGCUGUGCAUUUAGCUAUCGAUUAUCCGCUACUUAGGCUGCUCUAUCGCAUGCUUUUGAAACAACCAUGAUAAAGGAAAUAUA